UACGAAGGGGGCGAGCGUUGUUCGGAAUUACUGGGCGUAAAGGGCGCGCAGGCGGCUCUGAAAGUCAGAUGUGAAAGCCCCGGGCUUAACCUGGGAAUUGCAUUUGAUACUCUGGAGCCUGAGUACGGGAGAGGAGAGUGGAAUUCCCAGUGUAGAGGUGAAAUUCGUAGAUAUCGGGAAGAACACCGGUGGCGAAGGCGGCUCUCUGGGCCGUGUCCUGACGCGUCAGGCGCGAAAGCUAGGGGAGCGAACAGG
rnacentral:rRNA from 1 species